AGGAAAUAGGGCACAAAAGAACCCAUCAGCAGCUGGUUUUUCACUGGAAUGCUUGUAACAGGGGAAGAAAGAGCUGUAUUUCAGGGAUCCUGGGGGAAAGGUGGCAUCUCCCUUCCCUGCCACGUCCCACUGCCACUGCUUCACCACUGAAUCGGUGCAAGAACAGAUAGAUGGCUUCUCUCCCUACAGUGCAGGAGCACCUUAAAUUAUGAACACCUUUACCUUCAGGAGAACAUGGAAGCCUGGAACAGAAAUAUGUGCUCCAGUGCCACAGAAAGGAGCAGCUGGAGGAAGGAGACUCAGCCUUUCUCGCCCUGAUUUCUCCAUCUGAGGAGACAACAGAACUGAGUGGGGUCUAUAAGGAGCAUGGAUUUGAGGAGAAACUGCAGCUUCUCGGUGAGUUAUCCAUUAUUUUAGGUAUUAUUUAUGUAUUAUAAUAUCCAUUAUUGCAGCACACGUUACGACACGGGCUGCUCUUCAAGGGAUCGUGGGAAUGCAGAGAAAAGGAGAAAGUUGCUGCUGGAGGGUUCCUGUGUUUUCCAGACCCCAUUGCUGCCUCUCUAAGGAGACGUCUGGAGAGAAGAAAAAAAGUCCUUGCAUUGAUCUCUCUCCUUUCAGACACCUGAAGGCAGGAAGCUCUUGCUGCGAGCAGGGGGCUGACACCACCCUGGGCUCUUUCCAGGUGGGCUCUUUGGUUUUCCAGCUGGGAAGGAGAGAGAAAGAGUUCAAAUGUGAGAGAACUGCAUAUCCAGGGGGAUGAAAGGGUUGUUUUGGGAUUAGGGAUUUCAUAUAUGAAAGGGGAAGAGGCAGCAGCUCCUGUUCUCUUUAGGACUGGACAUGCAGAGAGCGUGUCUGUGGCUCUUGUCCCUCAGGCUAUCUGAGAGGAUUAUGGAUAUUCUGGGCACUGUUUGACACCCUCAAUAUCCACACAGCUCAUUCAUGGAUCACUGUUCACAGGCAGGGUCAUGGCUUGAACAUCCAGGGACAGAAAACUGUCCUUUUGAAUUAGUCCAGUCCUUGUUCUGUGUUUUUAUCGAGUUCCUUCCCCGUUACAAAAGGGUUUUCCUGGAAACAAUGGAAAGCAGUCGAUAAGGAAGCGGGGUACAACAGAUAGAACCACUUAGUUUCUGUCAGCCAGACAAGGAGCUUUCUUCCUCCCUGAUAUAAUGCCUAAAAAAUGGGAACAAAAGCACAUUUUCAUUCACUGAGCUCCUUCAGUGCUGGAGCUGAUAAAAUCUUGAACAUGAAUCCUGAGCCAGCAGCAGGGGGAGGAAGAAAGGGGCUCCUUCUCAGUGGAAUGCAAAGGGAAAACCCUGGCAUUACCCAGUGAGGGAUAAACAGGGGAGAAUUCAGGGAAAAAAGGUGAUUAAAAUUUCACAGAAUCAUAGGAUGGUUUGGGUUGGGAGGGACCUUAAAGCCCAUCCCAUUCCACGGGCAGGGACACCUUCCACCAGCCCAGGUUGCUCCAAGCCCUGUCCAACCUGGCCUGGGACACUUCCAGGGAUGGGGCAUUUACAAGUUCUUUGGGAAACCUGUGCCAGGGCCUGCCCACCCUCACAGGGAGGAGAAGAUGGGCAGGAUUGUUCUCAGACUUUUCCUAAUAAGAAAAGAAAAAAAAGCAUAUACUUUUCUCAUCUUUCUGGAAUAUCUACUGUAGGGAGUAAGCAAGAUUGAACAGCCUGAGCGUUAAGGGUAGGGCUGAAAUUCUCUAUUUAAUUAGGAUUUAUGCUUUGAAUAUGCAAAUUUAAUAUUCAUUUACACUUGACUUUGCAGAGCUGUCAGCAAAAUAUGCUGUGAGGGAACCAAUAGUGCUCAUUGCUCCCAGAUUUCAGUGCUACUGAAGGUUGUUGGUAGGACCCAGAAAAGGUGUAUGGAAGGUUGGGGAGGAGAAACAAAGGAUGGGAACAUUUCCUCUCAUGACUCUUUUCCCAUUCACAGUCAGAAGUUCAUUGGGAUGAACUAACUGAAAAAAAGAGACCAACUAAAAACCCCCAAACAGUUUUGUCAUCUCACUUUAUAAAGCAUCUGCUGAAAGCGUGAGGGGGCCAUGGAUCUUCCCAGAGGUGUCUGAAAACGAUGGAACUCUUCUAAAGCCAAGAGUUUAUUCUUUACUACAUUUUCCAUGUUAAUAAUAGAUGAAUUUGUGGGAUUGGCAGGCUCUCCAUCUGCUUUAAUGUUAUCUUUUAUAAGCCCAUAAAAAGAGAGAUUGCCGGAAUAACGGUAUUGUUGAAAAAAGAGGAAGAAGUGACUCAGUUUCUCACCCCAGUAUUUAUUUGGAGGAGCUGAAACUUGCCCAUAAUCAUAACAAAAUGAAAUUACUCUUUUUGUGCCCAUCAGGGCUAAACCCAUAUUUUGAAGGUUUCAUUUCUGAGGGCUCUGGAAAAAUUUGACUUUGUUCUUUGUGCACCAACAGAUUAAUAAAUAUUGCUUAUCCAUUUUUAA